AGCUUCAGUAGCGUAUAUUAAAGUUGUUGCAGUUAAAAAGCUCGUAAUAGCAUUUCUGGCGAGAGGAUCCGGUCCGACCUUUUGGUGGGUUCUUGGGUCUCUUUCGCCAUCCUUGAGUGGUCCGUUCUGGCAUUAGGUUGUCGGAGCGUCAGCCGCUCAUCGUUUACUGUGAGAAAAUUAGAGUGUUCAAAGCAGGCUUAUGCCGUUGAAUAUAUUAGCAUGGAAUAAUAAGAUAGGACCUCGGUACUAUUUUGUUGGUUUGCGCACCAAGGUAAUGAUGAACAGGGACAGUUGGGGGUAUUUGUAUUUCGUUGUCAGAGGUGAAAUUCUUAGAUUUACGAAAGACAAACUACUGCGAAAGCAUUUACCAAGGAUGUUUUCA
rnacentral:rRNA from 1 species